rnacentral:rRNA from 1 species
UACGUAGGUGACCAGCGUUGUCCGGAUUUACUGGGCGUAAAGAGCGCGCAGGCGGUCGUUCAAGUCGAGUGUGAAAGCCCCCGGCUCAACUGGGGAGGGUCACUUGAUACUGAUCGACUCGAAGGCAGGAGAGGGAAGCGGAAUUCCCGGUGUAGUGGUGAAAUGCGUAGAUAUCGGGAGGAACACCAGUGGCGAAGGCGGCUUCCUGGCCUGUUCUUGACGCUGAGGCGCGAAAGCGUGGGGAUCAAACAGG